rnacentral:lncRNA from 1 species
AAAUCUGAGAAGAUGCAUUCUUAUAUUACCACAUAUUUAUGGGAUUGGACUUUAAUUGCAAUAUAGAUUCGAGUUUAUUUUCAUCUAUUCUCACAAGACCCAAAAAAAAAAAAAUUUCUCUUAAAGGCUUAAGGGCUAUAUAUAUAUAGUUGAUUUUUCUUAUGUUUAGAAAGAGUUUAUUGACUGAAGCAGAUUUUCUUUCUCCUUCUUAGGAAAAUCACUUUGGAAUCAAUGCUCAAAAUAAAUAUAUAUGUGUAACCAAUUAAUUUCACAUUUAUCAGUAUAAGUGUAACCAAUUGAUUAAGAUUGGAUUAGGAUUGAACAGUAUUUAACAGUGAGAUUUUAAAAUUUUGAUCUAUUACAUCUCAUCUUCAAAAUUUUAAAUUCUCAAUCUUAAAAUGUAUUCAAUUCUAUUUUAAAUUGAAAUUGACUAGUCUAUGAAUAAUCAUGCAACGAUUAAAAGUAGUACUACAAACAAGGACACCUUAUUUGACAUACUAGAUACAGAAUUACAAGAAAAUGCAUUUUUCAUAUCACAUGUUUAUGACAUUAGGCUUAAACUUCAAUAUAAAUUCAUCAAGUGUUACCUAUUCUAAGCAAAAAAAAAACUUCAUUAUAGCACAUAAGGGCCAAGCAAACUGCUCAAAGAGAUUUUUUUUUCUAAUUCUUCUUCUAUUUUUAUUUUUUUUAGAGAAGGUGCACCGAAUGAAUUUGUAUUGAAGUUUAAGCCUAAUGUCAUAAAUAUAUGACAUAAAAAAUGCAUUAUCCUCGGAUAAUAUAAUUAAUUAGAUAGAAUUGAAUCAGAGUAAUUUCUUCUGUCCAAGUUUAUUUGUUUUCAAUAUUUUAGUUUGUUUACUUUUUAUUUUAGAGUUUCGUGUAAAUUUAAAUAACAAAGUAAGUUUAAGAAAACAGCUGGCUUUUUCUAAAGUUAAUAAAUUUUGUGAACAUCAUUGCUAAUAUUAUCCGAACUUUGCCAUAAAUCAAUUUAAAAAAAAAAUAAAUGCUUUCAAAGGAUAUUGAUGUCAUUGCAGGCUCAAUUUUAUUUUCUGAUUGAAAAUAAAUUUUGAUUUUUCUACGAUCAGUAAAGGUUCAAAUUCUUAUUCUAACAACAAACGUUGUUUUGAUACUCUCUGUUAUUAUGUUAUAGAAAUUGGAUUGUUCUUCCCUCAAACUUUUAUUAUGCGGUAGUUUAGAAGCUUAUUUAUUAGUUCCUCUUAAAGGUUAAACCAGAAUGAAUAUACAAGUACGAACGACAGUGUCAGUUAUUAUAAAACUUGGUGUAUGACAUCGAGGUUAGAUAGAACACGACAUGUCGGUUGGAAGCUCCAAUUUCAUGUAUGACAUCAAUCUAAUGUCAUACGAAAAAGUUAUAUAAGUGAAGCAUGCGUUUUUCACAUGACCUCAUGGUAUCUUUGAAGCACAAAACAGUAAGCUCAGGGUGCCGUUUGAAUAACUUAUUUGUAUCACAUGAUUUGCACGUGACAAAUGCUGUUAAAGUUAGUUAAAAGAGGCGGGAAGAUUCUAGUUUUGUUUCAACAAACCCAGAAACUUAGCUAGCUACUGAACCAACUUCUAGGAGAUUCCUAGACCUGUAUAUAAAGCCAUAGUGGCUCUAAUCUCGGUGAGGGUAUUCCUUGUAACUCUCUCUACAAACUUGUAACCUGGUUUGAGUGAAUUGACGAAAAAAGCCAUGAUAUAUUUCCCAAAGAGGACGUAAGCCACCUUAGCUGAACCUCUAUAAAUCUAUUGUUUUGAUUUUCAUCUUUUCUUUUAAGCUUGUUUGAAGUUAGAUUAUUUCUUGUUUGUCUUAUUAUUAUUCUUUGAUUCAUUAAUUAGCAAUCGUUUUGGGGAGAAAGAUCAGGAUUUAUCAAAUUUAAAAAAUUUAGUAUCAAGUUGGACCCUAAUAGUCAAAAUGUGAUAGUGGAACAAUUUAAAUUUGUGAUGGUGGAACAACUUAAAUUUGUCGGACAAAAAGACUAGAGUCUAAUAAUGGUUUCAUAUGGGGGGAGAUUGUUAAAUUGUGUCCCACAUUGACUAGUAAAUAGAAAAUAUAUGAGUUAAUAAGUAUGAUAUGAUACUUCAUCAAAUAAGCUAGUCUUUUUGGUUGGGUACCUAAAAAUAUAAGGCCAAGUCCCCAACAAUUCCUACCAUAAUUAAUGGUAAAUAUUCAUUUAGUGGGAAAAAAAGAGAAAUUUAUUAUACAAAAAUCUCUUUGUUCAAUAAGUGAAACUUUACAUUCAUGUCAAUGAUAGAAAAGAUAAUUCAAAUAUAACAUACACAUAUUUGUAAUUGAAGCCCUAAAAGCUAUGAUAUGGUUUAGUAACAUCCCUAUACACAGAAAUUUAUAGUCAUUGAAAGAUUUGUAUGAUAUGUAUAGGUUAUUUUUUGUUAGUCACCACCCCUCUUAAUACUUGUCCUGUCAAAGCACGGUCAAUUGCAAUCUGACAAGAGUAGUAUCGACGGCGCUUGGAAACAUCAGUGUCUUCCAGUUGACUAAUUUCAUUCCUUCACCAAAUCAUUCCCAACAACAAGAUCUUCCACUGACCAUGAUGUGGAGCCUGAGUAAUAUAUGGAUUAGCAUUAGAAUGUGGGCAGUUUAAGGUAAUUAGAUGCCAAAUCAAACGUAUAAUUAAAUAGUAGGUUUAUCAGUUCAAUACCUUGAACUGAGGCAAUAAUUGAUUGUUCGAUUUGGGGGAAUAGUUUCCUGCGCCCGUAAAUGGCAUCUCGGGCCAUCUUUGUCCCAUGUAUCCUUACCCUGUAAAAAAGGGAAAAAAAUAAAAAUGUGUUAACAAAGAUGCUUAAUUAAGACAAUUUAAAAAGAUAAAAUAAAUAUAUUAACACACUUACUGGGACUUGUCAACAGCAGGAUCAAAUAUCUGGUAAAUCACUAAUUCGAUAUUUAUAAAAUUACUUUUAUUAUUAAUAUUUUUCUCGAUAUUAUAAUAUUUCGUGAGAUUGAUGGGUUAUUUGUUCUUAGUAGUGCACAUUUAUCUUUGCUAAUAAAUGUGAAAUUUGGUGAAUCGCAUGCCAAUAUUUGUAAUACUAUAUCCAUUAAUUCUGUAAAAUUUUUGUAGACUUUUAGGUAUACUUUGAAGGAGAGAAAGAAUACAUAGCACUUAAAGAGAUGUUAUUUUUGUUUUAUGAGAGUAUGUGGACAAUGAACUGAAAUUUAUAAUGUAGUUAAUGUUUAAUAUCAUAAAUAUGAGGCCAUAUAAAAAUGCUUAUCCUCAGAUUUUCUUUCUUUAAUCAGUUUAAUGUCAUAAAUAUGUGACCAUAAAAGAAUGCUUAUCGUUAGAUUUUCCUUCCGUUAAUGUGAUAAUUAAAUAUGCGACCAUAUAAUACAUAUUCUCAAAAUUUUCUUGCAUAAUUAAUAUCAUAAAUACGUGACCAUAUAAAAUUACAUAUUUUCAUAUUUUCCUUCCACAUUCUCAGAGUUUCCUUUCAUAAUUAUUACCAAAAAUACGCGACUAUAUAAAAUACAUAUUCUCAAAUUCUCCUUCCAUAAUUAAUAUCAUAAAUUUGUAGCCAUAUAAGAUUUCAUAUUCUCAGAUUUUUCUUCCAUAAUUAUUAUAAAUACGUGGCCAAUUUAAACUACAUAAUUUCAGAUUUUCCUUCCAUAAUUAAUAACAUAAAUAAGUGACCAUAUUAAAUUACAUGUUCUCGUAUUUUCCUUCCAUAAUUAAUACCAUAAAUAUGUAACCAUAUAAAGUAUGUAUUCUCAGAUUUUCCUUCCAUAAUUAAUAAUAUAAAUUUGUGACCGUAUAAGAUUUCAUAUUCUCGGAUUUUUCUUCCAUAAUAACUAUCAUAAAUACGUGACCAUAUUAAAUUGCAUAUUCUCGUAUUUUUCUUCCAUUAUUAAUAUCAUAAAUAUGUGACCAUAUAAAAUUACAUAUUCUCAUAUUUUCCUUCCAUUAUUCCAGAUUUUCCUUCCAUAAUUAAUAUCAUAGAUACGUGACCAUAUUAGAUUACAUAUUCUCAAAUUUUCCUUCUAUUAUUAAUAUCAUAAAUACGUGACCAUAUAGAAUUGCAUAUUCUCAUUUUUUAAUGUAGUGAAUAUGUGACCGUAUAGAAUACCAUUCUCAGAUUUUCCUUUCAAAGUUAAUAUCAUAAAUACCUAACCAUAUAUAAAAUUAUAUAUUCUAAGAUUUUCAUUCCAUAAGUAAUAUCAUCAAUUUGUGACUAUAUAAGAUUACAUAUGCUCAGAUUUUCUUUCAUAAUUCAAAUCAUAAGGGUGUGAUUAUUUGUACUCUAAAAAUUAUUUUGGACACUCUAUUACUCUAAACACUUAUAAAUUAAAAUUUAAAAAUAUACUCUACUUUAUAUACUCCUUUAAAUGUCAAAAUAGCCUUAACCCUAUCUAUAUUUAGUAAGAUCCCCAACUCCCCAAAAAUAAU